UACGUAGGGUGCGAGCGUUGUCCGGAAUUACUGGGCGUAAAGAGCUCGUAGGUGGUUUGUCGCGUUGUUCGUGAAAAUCACGGCUUAACUGUGAGCGUGCGGGCGAUACGGGCAGACUGGAGUACUGCAGGGGAGACUGGAAUUCCUGGUGUAGCGGUGGAAUGCGCAGAUAUCAGGAGGAACACCGGUGGCGAAGGCGGGUCUCUGGGCAGUAACUGACGCUGAGGAGCGAAAGCGUGGGGAGCGAACAGG
rnacentral:rRNA from 1 species